UAUGGAUCAAAGGUGUUAAAUUUUAUCCUGCGUUAUCUAUCUGAUAGUCCUUUCUUUAAAUGGAAAUGAAGAUAACACUAAUCUCAUACUGGGAUCCAGU
rfam:Gossypium raimondii Chr12_contig_576, whole genome shotgun sequence.